CAGUCGAACGAGAGAAGAUCGGUGCUUGCACUGAUCCGAUCGAGUGGCGCACGGGUGAGUAACGCGUGGGUAACCUGCCUCAUACAGGGGAAUAACAGUUGGAAACGGCUGCUAAAACCGCAUAAGCGCACAGUAUCGCAUGAUACAGUGUGAAAAACUCCGGUGGUAUGAGAUGGACCCGCGUCUGAUUAGCUAGUUGGUGAGGUAACGGCCCACCAAGGCAACGAUCAGUAGCCGGCCUGAGAGGGUGAACGGCCACAUUGGGACUGAGACACGGCCCAAACUCCUACGGGAGGCAGCAGUGGGGAAUAUUGCACAAUGGGGGAAACCCUGAUGCAGCGACGCCGCGUGAGUGAUGAAGUAUUUCGGUAUGUAAAGCUCUAUCAGCAGGGAAGAUAAUGACGGUACCUGACUAAGAAGCACCGGCUAAAUACGUGCCAGCAGCCGCGGUAAUACGUAUGGUGCAAGCGUUAUCCGGAUUUACUGGGUGUAAAGGGUGCGUAGGUGGUGAGACAAGUCUGAAGUGAAAAUCCGGGGCUUAACCCCGGAACUGCUUUGGAAACUGCCUGACUAGAGUACAGGAGAGGUAAGUGGAAUUCCUAGUGUAGCGGUGAAAUGCGUAGAUAUUAGGAGGAACACCAGUGGCGAAGGCGACUUACUGGACUGCUACUGACACUGAGGCACGAAAGCGU
rnacentral:rRNA from 1 species